CACGGGGCCCAGCCAGAGCGUCCUGACCACCCUCCCCGAGGGGGUGCCCGGGAGUGUGGCCCUCAGGGAAGCAAUGUUCCCAAUCCAUCCUGACUGUCACUCCCUGCGAGCCAGCCAGACCUGCCCUGGGAGUCGUCACCUUCAGACUGCUCGUCCUAGAUUCUCAUUCUGCGCUGCCCUGAGAGCCGGUUCAGCCUGCAGCCAGUCAUUGCCCCUCUCCUGGCCUGCUUCCUCCUGACAGAAGGAAAAGGGCUGGGGAUAAGGAAGCAGAAGGAGGCUGGUGACCUGGGGGCAUGCCUGGAGAAGCAGCCUGACACACAGACCCACCAGCAUCGUGGAGCCAGAUGAAUCAACGGGAUCUGACACAGCUCCCUCCCAACAAGAAUGUGUGGAACACAAAGGAUGGGCCCCUCAUCUCUCUCCUGCUUGCUCGCUGAUACUCUGGCCAGCACUCUGACACCAUAGUGAUGACAUUAGACCCCAUUUUUCCCCCAAGUUAUAAUGUUUAUGAGUCCAAAUGUCAGCAUUUGUUUCUUAAGCCAUCAAACUGAAUUCAUGAUUGUGUGGAUUAGAUAAACACUCUCACUAAAUCA